rnacentral:rRNA from 1 species
UCGGGAAUUUUGGGCAAUGGGCGAAAGCCUGACCCAGCAACGCCGCGUGAAGGAUGAACUCCCUCGGGAUGUAAACUUCGUAAGAACAGGAAGAAUAAGUAAGAGACAAUACCUCUUAUGAUGACGGUACUGUUUGUAAGCUCCGGCUAACUCCGUGCCAGCAGCCGCGGUAAUACGGGGGGAGCAAGCGUUGUUCGGAUUUACUGGGCGUAAAGGGCGCGUAGGCGGUCAGCGCAAGUCAGUUGUGAAAUCUCCGGGCUUAACCCGGAACGGUCAACUGAUACUGCGCGACUAGAGUGCAGAAGGGGCAACUGGAAUUCUCGGUGUAGCGGUGAAAUGCGUAGAUAUCGAGAGGAACACCUGCGGCGAAGGCGGGUUGCUGGGCUGACACUGACGCUGAGGCGCGAAAGCCAGGGGAGCGAACGG